AGAAGUAAGGGUGAUCUGGCUGCGACAAAUGUCACCCCAUUGAUCGCCAGGGUUGAGUCGGCUGAUCUGGCUGGUUAGACGGGUGUUUCCCUUCUCCCUCACUGAUCCAUGUGCAUCCCUUGGAAGCUGUACGCUUAGUCUAAGAGGACCACCUUCCCUCAAGAGGAUAGGACUGGUCUUCGGUCAAGGGUAUAUGAGUAGCCGCACUCCCCUGCAAUAACCUCCAAGCAAACUCUCAAAUAGGAGAAUAUCAUAUGAAGACAAAGAUCUGAAAAAGAAUGAUGCCAU
ensembl:misc_RNA 7SK 7SK RNA